rnacentral:rRNA from 1 species
GGUUAAGCGACUAAGCGUACACGGUGGAUGCCCUGGCAGUCAGAGGCGAUGAAGGACGUGCUAAUCUGCGAUAAGCGUCGGUAAGGUGAUAUGAACCGUUAUAACCGGCGAUUUCCGAAUGGGGAAACCCAGUGUGAUUCGUCACACUAUCAUUAACUGAAUCCAUAGGUUAAUGAGGCGAACCGGGGGAACUGAAACAUCUAAGUACCCCGAGGAAAAGAAAUCAACCGAGAUUCCCCCAGUAGCGGCGAGCGAACGGGGAGCAGCCCAGAGCCUGAAUCAGUGUGUGUGUUAGUGGAAGCGUCUGGAAAGGCGCGCGAUACAGGGUGACAGCCCCGUACACAAAAAUGCACAUGCUGUGAGCUCGAUGAGUAGGGCGGGACACGUGGUAUCCUGUCUGAAUAUGGGGGGACCAUCCUCCAAGGCUAAAUACUCCUGACUGACCGAUAGUGAACCAGUACCGUGAGGGAAAGGCGAAAAGAACCCCGGCGAGGGGAGUGAAAAAGAACCUGAAACCGUGUACGUACAAGCAGUGGGAGCCUCUUAAUGGGGUGACUGCGUACCUUUUGUAUAAUGGGUCAGCGACUUAUAUUCUGUAGCAAGGUUAACCGAAUAGGGGAGCCGAAGGGAAACCGAGUCUUAACUGGGCGUUAAGUUGCAGGGUAUAGACCCGAAACCCGGUGAUCUAGCCAUGGGCAGGUUGAAGGUUGGGUAACACUAACUGGAGGACCGAACCGACUAAUGUUGAAAAAUUAGCGGAUGACUUGUGGCUGGGGGUGAAAGGCCAAUCAAACCGGGAGAUAGCUGGUUCUCCCCGAAAGCUAUUUAGGUAGCGCCUCGUGAAUUCAUCUCCGGGGGUAGAGCACUGUUUCGGCAAGGGGGUCAUCCCGACUUACCAACCCGAUGCAAACUGCGAAUACCGGAGAAUGUUAUCACGGGAGACACACGGCGGGUGCUAACGUCCGUCGUGAAGAGGGAAACAACCCAGACCGCCAGCUAAGGUCCCAAAGUCAUGGUUAAGUGGGAAACGAUGUGGGAAGGCCCAGACAGCCAGGAUGUUGGCUUAGAAGCAGCCAUCAUUUAAAGAAAGCGUAAUAGCUCACUGGUCGAGUCGGCCUGCGCGGAAGAUGUAACGGGGCUAAACCAUGCACCGAAGCUGCGGCAGCGACGCUUAUGCGUUGUUGGGUAGGGGAGCGUUCUGUAAGCCUGCGAAGGUGUACUGUGAGGUAUGCUGGAGGUAUCAGAAGUGCGAAUGCUGACAUAAGUAACGAUAAAGCGGGUGAAAAGCCCGCUCGCCGGAAGACCAAGGGUUCCUGUCCAACGUUAAUCGGGGCAGGGUGAGUCGACCCCUAAGGCGAGGCCGAAAGGCGUAGUCGAUGGGAAACAGGUUAAUAUUCCUGUACUUGGUGUUACUGCGAAGGGGGGACGGAGAAGGCUAUGUUGGCCGGGCGACGGUUGUCCCGGUUUAAGCGUGUAGGCUGGUUUUCCAGGCAAAUCCGGAAAAUCAAGGCUGAGGCGUGAUGACGAGGCACUACGGUGCUGAAGCAACAAAUGCCCUGCUUCCAGGAAAAGCCUCUAAGCAUCAGGUAACAUCAAAUCGUACCCCAAACCGACACAGGUGGUCAGGUAGAGAAUACCAAGGCGCUUGAGAGAACUCGGGUGAAGGAACUAGGCAAAAUGGUGCCGUAACUUCGGGAGAAGGCACGCUGAUAUGUAGGUGAAGUCCCUUGCGGAUGGAGCUGAAAUCAGUCGAAGAUACCAGCUGGCUGCAACUGUUUAUUAAAAACACAGCACUGUGCAAACACGAAAGUGGACGUAUACGGUGUGACGCCUGCCCGGUGCCGGAAGGUUAAUUGAUGGGGUUAGCGGUAACGCGAAGCUCUUGAUCGAAGCCCCGGUAAACGGCGGCCGUAACUAUAACGGUCCUAAGGUAGCGAAAUUCCUUGUCGGGUAAGUUCCGACCUGCACGAAUGGCGUAAUGAUGGCCAGGCUGUCUCCACCCGAGACUCAGUGAAAUUGAACUCGCUGUGAAGAUGCAGUGUACCCGCGGCAAGACGGAAAGACCCCGUGAACCUUUACUAUAGCUUGACACUGAACAUUGAGCCUUGAUGUGUAGGAUAGGUGGGAGGCUUUGAAGUGUGGACGCCAGUCUGCAUGGAGCCGACCUUGAAAUACCACCCUUUAAUGUUUGAUGUUCUAACGUUGGCCCCUGAUCGGGGUUGCGGACAGUGUCUGGUGGGUAGUUUGACUGGGGCGGUCUCCUCCUAAAGAGUAACGGAGGAGCACGAAGGUUGGCUAAUCCUGGUCGGACAUCAGGAGGUUAGUGCAAUGGCAUAAGCCAGCUUGACUGCGAGCGUGACGGCGCGAGCAGGUGCGAAAGCAGGUCAUAGUGAUCCGGUGGUUCUGAAUGGAAGGGCCAUCGCUCAACGGAUAAAAGGUACUCCGGGGAUAACAGGCUGAUACCGCCCAAGAGUUCAUAUCGACGGCGGUGUUUGGCACCUCGAUGUCGGCUCAUCACAUCCUGGGGCUGAAGUAGGUCCCAAGGGUAUGGCUGUUCGCCAUUUAAAGUGGUACGCGAGCUGGGUUUAGAACGUCGUGAGACAGUUCGGUCCCUAUCUGCCGUGGGCGCUGGAGAACUGAGGGGGGCUGCUCCUAGUACGAGAGGACCGGAGUGGACGCAUCACUGGUGUUCGGGUUGUCAUGCCAAUGGCACUGCCCGGUAGCUAAAUGCGGAAGAGAUAAGUGCUGAAAGCAUCUAAGCACGAAACUUGCCCCGAGAUGAGUUCUCCCUGACUCCCUGAGAGUCCUGAAGGAACGUUGAAGACGACGACGUUGAUAGGCCGGGUGUGUAAGCGCAGCGAUGCGUUGAGCUAACCGGUACUAAUGAACCGUGAGGCUUAACCUU